rnacentral:misc_RNA from 1 species
GUGUUUAUGAGAAGAAUUCGAAUUGUACAGUUGAGGAGGGAUGUACAAGUUCAGCAGCACCUAUGAUGUACGGACUUGGGAAGCGAAACAACAGCAGUGUUGAGCUGCCACUCCCGUCCUUGUCUAAGAAAACAAAGUCAUCUACUCACAAUCCACUAAAACCGCACUGUCAGGUUGAUUCCUGCAAUCUUGAUCUCUCUUCAGCUAAACAAUAUCACCGAAAACAUCGAGUUUGUCA